UACGGAGGAUGCGAGCGUUAUCCGGAUUUAUUGGGUUUAAAGGGUGCGCAGGUUGUUUGAUAAGUCAGUGGUGAAAGUCUGUCGCUUAACGGUAGGAUUGCCAUUGAAACUGUGUAUCUGGAAUGCGGAUGCUGUGGGAGGAAUGUGUAGUGUAGCGGUGAAAUGCAUAGAUAUUACACAGAACACCGAUUGCGAAGGCAUCUCACAAAGCCGUUAUUGACGCUGAGGCACGAAAGUGUGGGGAUCAAACA
rnacentral:rRNA from 1 species